rnacentral:lncRNA from 1 species
CCUAUGAGCCGUUGGCGAUCAAGCUCAUAUAAUUUUAAAAACAAUUAAAAGCAUAAUAUUAAAACCAACAUCAUCAUCAUUAUCAUUAUAUAACCAUAAUAUCCUUAGGUUCAAAAGUGAACCUUGGUGAGGUUUACUCACCUAAAUCUCCCGCUGCAAAUUCCACAACCGACCAAGGUAAACCAACACAACUUCACAAAUCACCUAAAAAUAGCACAAAUAAAACCUUAGUAACUAAAACACAAAAGGUUAUCGCACUAUCCUUAACUAACCCUUAGUUAGUUAAAGAGAUGACAACUUUCCAAAGUCGUCUAACUUAGAGACCCACAAAGGCCGCCUCUAAUCCUCAAAUCUUACCCCAAACCUCAACCAAGCCUACACAAAUAAACUUAAGUCCUAACAUGCCAACCUUGCCUAAAAUCUAGCCAUACUACCACUCAACAAGCUCACAGCAACAAAGACUAGCUAACCACAGGAAGCUAAGGCCGCAACUCAGCCCGACGCGCCGCCACACGCCGCCACAAGCGGCGGCGGCGAGUGGGACCCACGCGCCACCCCAAACUUCCGAAUUAGGAGAAACUCCCAACAGCAAAGUUGAAGCUUGAAGCAAGGGGAACAACUUUCAUACCUGUGACUUCGACCAAUUUUGGCCGGAACUGGCCGGAAACUUCCCCGAACAGUGACCAGAAAAUCACUCUACAAAACCUGCAAAACCGGCCUCAAAACCUCAAAAACUUGCUUCAACUAUGCCUAGACACUGCUAGGAGGAAGAGGGGAUCAAGACUCACCUAAACUUGGCCGGAAACGGCGUCGAAAUCGCCGGUUUUCCGGCGGGACAGCAGCAGCUCCGCCGCUUCGUGGCGGCUUCCAGGCGGCGGGACAGCCGGGGGGACUGCUCCAGAAAUGGAGAGGGCUGCUGUUGGAGUCGAAUGGGACCGGUGGCGUCCGGUUUGGUGGCCGGAGGAGGAAGAACUCGGCUGAAGAAAGUGAAGGCUCGGGGAGCUCGGGUGGGAGGAGAGAGAGAGGAGGGAAACUGAUUUUUAGGGUUCUAAUUAAUCCCACACACAAUUUUUCUACUUAUACUCUUUUCAAACCCGAAAACAAACUUCCUCUGAACAUAACUUCUUCAUACGACAUCCGUUUUAGACGUGCCGCAUGUCUACGAACUCGUAUCGACAAGCUCUACAACUUUCAUGAAGGAAGUUUUCGAAGAUAACUUACGGAAAAUAAAGUCAACUUUUGGCCUAUUAAAAGUCAAGGCAACUUUAAAUAAACUCCCGAACUUCAACUUCGCAUAAACCCAAGAAUUUUCAUGAAUAAU